UUAAGCGACUAAGCGUACACGGUGGAUGCCCUGGCAGUCAGAGGCGAUGAAGGGCGUGCUAAUCUGCGAUAAGCGCCGGUAAGGUGAUAUGAACCGUUAUAACCGGCGAUACCCGAAUGGGGAAACCCAGUGUGAUUCGUCACACUAUCAUUAACUGAAUCCAUAGGUUAAUGAGGCGAACCGGGGGAACUGAAACAUCUAAGUACCCCGAGGAAAAGAAAUCAACCGAGAUUCCCCCAGUAGCGGCGAGCGAACGGGGAGGAGCCCAGAGCCUGAAUCAGCAUGUGUGUUAGUGGAAGCGUCUGGAAAGGCGCGCGAUACAGGGUGACAGCCCCGUACACAAAAGCGCAUGUGCUGUGAGCUCGAUGAGUAGGGCGGGACACGUGGUAUCCUGUCUGAAUAUGGGGGGACCAUCCUCCAAGGCUAAAUACUCCUGACUGACCGAUAGUGAACCAGUACCGUGAGGGAAAGGCGAAAAGAACCCCGGCGAGGGGAGUGAAAAAGAACCUGAAACCGUGUACGUACAAGCAGUGGGAGCACAGGUUUACCUGUGUGACUGCGUACCUUUUGUAUAAUGGGUCAGCGACUUAUAUUCUGUAGCAAGGUUAACCGUAUAGGGGAGCCGGAGGGAAACCGAGUCUUAACCGGGCGUUAAGUUGCAGGGUAUAGACCCGAAACCCGGUGAUCUAGCCAUGGGCAGGUUGAAGGUUGGGUAACACUAACUGGAGGACCGAACCGACUAAUGUUGAAAAAUUAGCGGAUGACCUGUGGCUGGGGGUGAAAGGCCAAUCAAACCGGGAGAUAGCUGGUUCUCCCCGAAAGCUAUUUAGGUAGCGCCUCGUGAAUUCAUCUCCGGGGGUAGAGCACUGUUUCGGCUAGGGGGCCAUCCCGGCUUACCAACCCGAUGCAAACUGCGAAUACCGGAGAAUGUUAUCACGGGAGACACACGGCGGGUGCUAACGUCCGUCGUGAAGAGGGAAACAACCCAGACCGCCAGCUAAGGUCCCAAAGUCAUGGUUAAGUGGGAAACGAUGUGGGAAGGCCCAGACAGCCAGGAUGUUGGCUUAGAAGCAGCCAUCAUUUAAAGAAAGCGUAAUAGCUCACUGGUCGAGUCGGCCUGCGCGGAAGAUGUAACGGGGCUAAACCAUGCACCGAAGCUGCGGCAGCGAACGUAUCACCCAAGACAACUUUACGGAGUUGACGAUUGACGGAGCGAAGCGACGUCAAAGCGUUCAUUAAAGUCGAGUUGGCUUAGGGAUACGUUCGUUGGGUAGGGGAGCGUUCUGUAAGCCUGUGAAGGUGUGUCGUGAGGCAUGCUGGAGGUAUCAGAAGUGCGAAUGCUGACAUAAGUAACGAUAAAGCGGGUGAAAAGCCCGCUCGCCGGAAGACCAAGGGUUCCUGUCCAACGUUAAUCGGGGCAGGGUGAGUCGACCCCUAAGGCGAGGCCGAAAGGCGUAGUCGAUGGGAAACGGGUUAAUAUUCCCGUACUUGGUGUUACUGCGAAGGGGGGACGGAGAAGGCUAUGUUGGCCGGGCGACGGUUGUCCCGGUUUAAGCGUGUAGGUGUGUGUUCCAGGUAAAUCCGGUUCACUUUAACACUGAGGCGUGACGACGAGGCACUACGGUGCUGAAGCAACAAAUGCCCUGCUUCCAGGAAAAGCCUCUAAGCAUCAGGUAACACGAAAUCGUACCCCAAACCGACACAGGUGGUCAGGUAGAGAAUACCAAGGCGCUUGAGAGAACUCGGGUGAAGGAACUAGGCAAAAUGGUGCCGUAACUUCGGGAGAAGGCACGCUGACACGUAGGUGAAGUGAUUUACUCAUGGAGCUGAAGUCAGUCGAAGAUACCAGCUGGCUGCAACUGUUUAUUAAAAACACAGCACUGUGCAAACACGAAAGUGGACGUAUACGGUGUGACGCCUGCCCGGUGCCGGAAGGUUAAUUGAUGGGGUCAGCGUAAGCGAAGCUCCUGAUCGAAGCCCCGGUAAACGGCGGCCGUAACUAUAACGGUCCUAAGGUAGCGAAAUUCCUUGUCGGGUAAGUUCCGACCUGCACGAAUGGCGUAAUGAUGGCCAGGCUGUCUCCACCCGAGACUCAGUGAAAUUGAACUCGCUGUGAAGAUGCAGUGUACCCGCGGCAAGACGGAAAGACCCCGUGAACCUUUACUAUAGCUUGACACUGAACAUUGAGCCUUGAUGUGUAGGAUAGGUGGGAGGCUUUGAAGUGUGGACGCCAGUCUGCAUGGAGCCGACCUUGAAAUACCACCCUUUAAUGUUUGAUGUUCUAACGUGGACCCGUAAUCCGGGUUGCGGACAGUGUCUGGUGGGUAGUUUGACUGGGGCGGUCUCCUCCUAAAGAGUAACGGAGGAGCACGAAGGUUGGCUAAUCCUGGUCGGACAUCAGGAGGUUAGUGCAAUGGCAUAAGCCAGCUUGACUGCGAGCGUGACGGCGCGAGCAGGUGCGAAAGCAGGUCAUAGUGAUCCGGUGGUUCUGAAUGGAAGGGCCAUCGCUCAACGGAUAAAAGGUACUCCGGGGAUAACAGGCUGAUACCGCCCAAGAGUUCAUAUCGACGGCGGUGUUUGGCACCUCGAUGUCGGCUCAUCACAUCCUGGGGCUGAAGUAGGUCCCAAGGGUAUGGCUGUUCGCCAUUUAAAGUGGUACGCGAGCUGGGUUUAGAACGUCGUGAGACAGUUCGGUCCCUAUCUGCCGUGGGCGCUGGAGAACUGAGGGGGGCUGCUCCUAGUACGAGAGGACCGGAGUGGACGCAUCACUGGUGUUCGGGUUGUCAUGCCAAUGGCACUGCCCGGUAGCUAAAUGCGGAAGAGAUAAGUGCUGAAAGCAUCUAAGCACGAAACUUGCCCCGAGAUGAGUUCUCCCUGAGACUUAGAGUCUCCUGAAGGAACGUUGAAGACGACGACGUUGAUAGGCCGGGUGUGUAAGCGCAGCGAUGCGUUGAGCUAACCGGUACUAAUGAACCGUGAGGCUUAACCUU
rnacentral:rRNA from 1 species